GCUGGGCGCGGUGGUGCAUGCCUAUAAUCCUACCACUCAGGAGGCUGAGGCAGGAGGAUCACGAGUUGGAGGCCAGCCUCAGCAACAUAGCAAUACCCCCAGCAACUUUAGCAAGACCCUGGCUCUA
rnacentral:sRNA from 1 species